UACGGAGGGGGCGAGCGUUAAUCGGAAUUACUGGGCGUAAAGGGCGCGUAGGCGGUGGGUUACGUCUGCCGUGAAAUCCCCGGGCUGAACCUGGGAAUGGCGGUGGAAACGGGCUGACUGGAGUAUGGGAGAGGGUGAUGGAAUUCCAGGUGUAGCGGUGAAAUGCGUAGAGAUCUGGAGGAACACCAGUGGCGAAGGUGGUCACCUGGCCCAAUACUGACGCUGAGGCGCGAAAGCGUGGGGAGCAAGCAGG
rnacentral:rRNA from 1 species